ACGGGGUGCAGCAGGCGCGAAAACUUUACACUGCACGACAGUGCGAUAAGGGAACUCCGAGUGCGAGGGCAUAUCGUCCUCGCUUUUCUGUACCGUAGGGAGGUACAAGAAUAAGGGCUGGGCAAGACCGGUGCCAGCCGCCGCGGUAACACCGGCAGCCCGAGUGAUGGCCGAUAUUAUUGGGCCUAAAGCGUCCGUAGCCAGCUGAACAGGUCCGUUGGGAAAUCUGCUCGCUCAACGAGCAGGCGUCCGGCGGAAACCAGUCAGCUUGGGACCGAGAGGACCGAAGGGUACGUCUGGGGUAGGAGUGAAAUCCUGUAAUCCUGGACGGACCACCGAUGGCGAAAGCACUUCGGUAGAUCGGAUCCGACGGUGAGGGACGAAAGCUAGGGUCACGAACCGGAUUAGAUACCCGGGUAGUCCUAGCCGUAAACGAUGCUCGUUAGGUGUGGCGCAAACUACGAGUUUGUGCCGUGCCGCAGUGAAGACGAUAAACGAGCCGCCUGGGAAGUACGUCCGCAAGGAUGAAACUUAAAGGAAUUGGCGGGGGAGCAC
rnacentral:rRNA from 1 species